rnacentral:rRNA from 1 species
GGAUGCGGUAACUCUGACUGUAAUAAAGUAGCAUAGUUAAUUGUCACUUAAUUAGUGGAGAGAAUGAAUGGUUACACGAAUGUUUCAUUGUCUUAAAAAAAACUUUUUAAAAUUGAAAUAAUAGUUAAGAUGCUAUUUAAAAUUGUAAGACGAAGAGACCCUAUAGAGCUUUACUAUAAAUUUUCUAAUUAAGAAUAGCAAUAAUCUGUUUAUGAAUAGAAUGUUUGGUAGUUUAGUUGGGGCGACUGUUUUUUAGAAAUAACAAAAAUAUGCAAAGUAAUAUUUUUAUUUAUUGUAUAACCCAAAAGUUUAACAAUUAUUAUCGUAGGCUAUAGUGACCCGUUAAUUUAAUAAAAUUUAGUUAACGAUUAAUUAAUAAAAGCUACCUUAGGGAUAACAGGA